rnacentral:rRNA from 1 species
AUUGAACGCUGGCGGCGUGCUUAACACAUGCAAGUCGAUCGGUAACAGGUGUAGCAAUACAUGCUGACGAGAGGCGGACGGGUGAGUAAUGCUUGGGAAUCUGCCUAUUAGUGGGGGACAACCCGGGGAAACUCGGGCUAAUACCGCAUACGCUCUACGGAGGAAAGCCGGGGACCGCAAGGCCUGGCGCUAAUAGAUGAGCCCAAGUCGGAUUAGCUAGUUGGCAGGGAACGGCCUACCAAGGCGACAAUCCGUAGCUGGUCCGAGAGGACGACCAGCCACACCGGAACUGAGACACGGUCCGGACUCCUACGGGAGGCAGCAGUGGGGAAGUAUUGGACAAUGGGGGCAACCCUGAUCCAGCGACGCCGCGUGGGUGAAGAAGGCCUGCGGGUUGUAAAGCCCUUUCGGGUGGGGAAGAAAAGUCUCGACCUAAUACGUCGGGACCUUGACGUAACCCACUAAAGAAGCACCGGCUAACUCUGUGCCAGCAGCCGCCGUAAG